rnacentral:rRNA from 1 species
GAUGAACGCUGGCGGCAUGCCUAAUACAUGCAAGUCGAACGAAGUUUCGAGGAAGCUUGCUUCCAAAGAGACUUAGAGGCGAACGGGUGAGUAACACGUAGGUAACCUGCCCAUGUGUCCGGGAUAACUGCUGGAAACGGUAGCUAAAACCGGAUAGGUAUACAGAGCGCAUGCUCUGUAUAUUAAAGCGCCCAUCAAGGCGUGAACAUGGAUGGACCUGCGGCGCAUUAGCUAGUUGGUGAGGUAACGGCCCACCAAGGCGAUGAUGCGUAGCCGGCCUGAGAGGGUAAACGGCCACAUUGGGACUGAGACACGGCCCAAACUCCUACGGGAGGCAGCAGUAGGGAAUUUUCGUCAAUGGGGGAAACCCUGAACGAGCGAUGCCGCGUGAGUGAAGAAGGUCUUCGGAUCGUAAAGCUCUGUUGUAAGUGAAGAACGGCUCAUAGAGGAAAUGCUAUGGGAGUGACGGUAGCUUACCAGAAAGCCACGGCUAACUACGUGCCAGCAGCCGCGGUAAUACGUAGGUGGCAAGCGUUAUCCGGAAUCAUUGGGCGUAAAGGGUGCGUAGGUGGCGUACUAAGUCUGUAGUAAAAGGCAAUGGCUCAACCAUUGUAAGCUAUGGAAACUGGUAUGCUGGAGUGCAGAAGAGGGCGAUGGAAUUCCAUGUGUAGCGGUAAAAUGCGUAGAUAUAUGGAGGAACACCAGUGGCGAAGGCGGUCGCCUGGUCUGUAACUGACACUGAGGCACGAAAGCGUGGGGAGCAAAUAGGAUUAGAUACCCUAGUAGUCCACGCCGUAAACGAUGAGAACUAAGUGUUGGAGGAAUUCAGUGCUGCAGU